AUUGAACGCUGGCGGCAGGCCUAACACAUGCAAGUCGAGCGAGCGGCGGACGGGUGAGUAAUGCUUGGGAAUCUAGCUUAUGGAGGGGGAUAACUACGGGAAACGGUUGCUAAUACCGCAUACUAUCGGAUGAGCCCACGUGGGAUUAGGUAGUUGGUGAGGUAAAGGCUCACCAAGCCGACGAUCUCUAGCUGGUCUGAGAGGAUGACCAGCCACACUGGGACUGAGACACGGCCCAGACUCCUACGGGAGGCAGCAGUGGGGAAUAUUGCGCAAUGGGCGCAAGCCUGAUGCAGCCAUGCCGCGUGUAUGAAGAAGGCCUUAGGGUUGUAAAGUACUUUCAGCGGGGAGGCGUUACCCGCAGAAGAAGCACUGGCUAACUCCGUGCCAGCCGCCGCGGUAAUAC
rnacentral:rRNA from 1 species